CUCUGAUGUCACAGACAGCCUCUUCCUGAAUCGCAGGGCACCCUCAGCAGCAGGUUUACCUAUAAAUGACAAGAGAGAGAGAGCGAGAGAGAUCAUGCUUUUGAUCAAAAAAUCAUAAAUGAUAACAAAACCAACCCAAAUUCUUUUCAUUCCUCCUAAACAAAACCUCAAGAGCACAAACACGUCCCAAACUCACGACUAUCCCCCUCCUUCGCUGUCAUUUUGAGCCCAGUUGUGUCGUUGACCCGCUCCUUGCUACUGUAGGUAAACUAUGCUCGCCUUUUCCAGCUCUUUCGGACCUCCUGGCCAGCGGUCUCCUAGCAACCCGGAUGCCCUCUAGAUGAGCUGGCCUUUAUUCGUCAGACACAAGGAAAAGGCACUUUGAUCGGCCAGAGGAGGCCGUGUCACUCGGUAAUAAUUAAUCCUGCACCCGCUGCCCUCUGAGCGGGACAUUCCGCGUCUGUCGACACACACAGCUAAUGCCACAACUCCCAGACAACAGACACGGAGAAACAAAGUCUUUACCUUCUGUAGGGACUGCUUCCACGUCAGGUGAGCUAUGAUCUUGCAGGGCUUUUAAAGUGACUCUGCGUGGAGCCCCCUCACACACUUUUACUGCAUCUUCCAGUGUCAUUCCCAGGGUGCAUCUCCCACAGAUGUAAACAAUCUUGUCAUUUGGCUGGAUGCUGCCCUCGUCACAAGCAGGCAUUCUACCGCCUGCCUGUGGGUAAUGCCACGCAGGUUACAGCCGUCCACCUCCAGAAGCCUGUCACCUGUCACACACACCACAUCAUCGAACUGUCAACAUCAAUUUAAAGUCACAUCCAAUCCGGAUGUUACAUAUUCAUGCUCAUUUGCAUGUCGGGGUCACAUUAAAACUGGAACAAUGGGUCA